GGAUCCAUGCCCUCCGGCUGUAGUUGUCUGUAGCAGUGAAAAAUAUUUCAAAUUGCCAAGUGAGAUAUUUUUGAAAGGUGCAAACUAAGUUGGCAUGCAAGAGUUUGUGUCUUUUGGUCAUCCAUUUGAUGCUAACUUUUGGUCUUGUUGGUUUGUGAAUUUUAACUAAUGCACAUAUGUAGAAGAGGGUUGUGUUGAUUGGUAUGUAAGACAUGCCAUUUGUGAUACAAGGGUGAGUACAAGGAUGCCAAUGUAUCAUAGAUGCAGAUGCCAAAGUGCUCACUCUUGUUGAGGCUCUAAAUCUAUAGUUGAGGCUCUAAAUCUCUAGUUGAGGCUCCUAUCUUAUUUGUGAAGAAGAAAGGCGGAACUUUCCAGAUGUGUGUAGAUUGUUAAGGACUCAAUAAGAUUACUAUAAAAAAUAGAUAUCUUUUGCGUUUGAUUUUAGGACUACUUGACCAAUUCAAUCAAGCAAAGAUCUAUACCCAAAU
rnacentral:lncRNA from 1 species